GGCAUGGUUCUCUUGGAUGUCCCACCUCCAAAUUUUAGGGCCAAGAGAAGGGCAAUAUCUAAUUGCAGAAGCUUCCUGUUGUUGUAUGUUCAAAGAAGGAUGGUUUUUAUCAGAAUUUUUGUUUUCAACAUAAUCGAUUAGGUUUAUGAGCCACAUAAGGGCAUUGUAAUACUCAAAACUCAGCUCGACUGGAUUACUCCAACUGGAAUAUUUGGCAAGAUGCGAAUAGUAGCUCAUGAGUGGCUUUACUCUUUUACACUUCUAGAGCCAUAUAUUCAUAUUGGAGCUGAAGUAGAAAGUUUUGAAGCUUCUGUUUCCCACAUGAUAUGGUUUCUAUAUUUACCCAAUCCUUUAGUUCUUGAUCAUCAAUCUAUUUAAGCACUUUCCUCAGGUUAAAAUUAGAAUAAUUUCUUGGAAAUUGGGGAAAUUUUUUGCUUCACAAUAUCUUUUCAUGUUUUGCCAUGUGUAAUCUUUUAAAUAUUCCACCUUAAAUGUUUUACUUAGUGG
rnacentral:misc_RNA from 1 species